rnacentral:rRNA from 1 species
GACGAACGCUGGCGGCGUGCUUAAUACAUGCAAGUCGAACGCAGUGGGGACGGGUGAGUAACACGUGGGUAACCUCCCAUCAGAGGGGAUAAACCUUGGCAACAGGUGCUAAACCGCUACUGAUUGAUGGACCCGCGGUGCAUGAGCCAGUUGGUGGGGUAACGGCUCACCAAGGCCAAGAUGCAUAGCCGAACGGAGAGGGUGAUCGGCAACACUGGAACUGAGACACGGCCCAGACUCCUACGGGAGGCAGCAGUAGGGAAUAUUCGGCAAUGGACGAAAGUCUGACCGAGCAACGCCGCGUGAGUGAAGAAGGUCUUCGGAUCGUAAAACUCUGUUAUUAGAGAAGCGGUAUCUAACCAGAAAGCCACGGCUAACUACGUGCCAGCAGCCGCGGUAAUAC